GUAUUUACCACUCUGUCCAUCACCAAGCGUUCUGGUGAAAGUACCCUUCAGUCUGGUUGCUGAGGUUAAAGACCCCCAUUCCUGUUAUUGCCAGAGACUGACUUUCAUCGCUAUGGCUGACUUGCACAACUCAGAAGAAAGAUUUUGAAAGAAGUGAUCAUCAGAUGACUGCAGAAACGUUUAUGUUUCAGACAGAGCACUCCACAGUCCUGAGGAGAAGAACAAAAUGGGAGUUAGCCACCAGCGGUGAUUGACUGGCAAUCAACAAUGCAAUGGGCACAUUGACAAUCCAGCUGAUGUUUAGCAGAGCAUUUCACACGUGCUUUCAUGAAAUCACAGCCUGAACCCUGCACUGUCUGGUGGGCAGUGAUGGAAGAACUGCUGGCACAGCUGAACAACUUUAUUUUUUUUCCUCUGUAAUUUGCUACUUGAACAAAGAACCAUCCUAACUCAAGAAUGUCACCGCAAGUUCAGACAACUGUGUUCUGAAUUAUAACACUGCAAUUGCAAAUUAUCCUUACGAGCAUGCAUUUUUACCAAUGACUUUUGCAUGCCAACGUUGGGGAUAUUAUCUGUAUGUUGGGUUAUGAGGAAGGAGGUAUCACUGGGAAGAAAAAAAAAAGUGCUGUCUACGAUAUUGACUCUCUUUGCUUCCAAACGGACUGCUAUGACUGUUUAUUUUAGAGAUACUUAUUUCUGAAAAUAUUACUAAUGAGAAAGAAAAUAGUUUUUAUUAAGGCCUUGUUAUACAGAAAGGUUUUUGUUGUUUUUUUUUUUUUCUGAUAGUAACAACCUUGCACAUAACACAGAAGUGACCUCUAUAGCUUUAUCUUACAGUUUACAUGAUUAUAAAUAAUCCAGUUUGAAACUGACAGAUUUCCAAUUUGGAUUGAAUUAUAUUUCAAGAGCAUGAGAUAGCUUUAUUCAAUUUGGAUGAAUUCUUCCUCUUCAGUGUGCAAUGGCAUACUGCACACUUUCAGGUCUGAAUUGGCCACUUUGCACACAGUGAUAUUGAGGCUUCCUUCACACUGAUGGGGUGAUCGAGUCAAAACCAAGCAACCAAAAAAAAAAAA